AGCAGCCGCGGUAAUUCCAGCUCCAAUAGCGUAUAUUAAAGUUGUUGCAGUUAAAAAGCUCGUAGUUGAAUUUCGGGGUCAGUAGGCUGGUCGUGCCACAGGUACGUACUGGUCUCACUGAUUCCUCCUUCCUGAUGAACCGUAAUGCCAUUAAUUUGGUGUUGCGGGGAAACUGGACUGUUACUUUGAAAAAAUUAGAGUGUUUAAAGCAGGCUAACGCUUGAAUACAUUAGCAUGGAAUAAUGAAAUAGGACGUUCGAUCCUAUUUUGUUGGUUUCUAGGAUUGACGUAAUGAUUAAUAGGGAUAGUUGGGGGCAUUAGUAUUCAAUUGUCAGAGGUGAAAUUCUUGGAUUUAUUGAAGACUAACUACUGCGAAAGCAUUUGCCAAGGAUGUUUUCAUUAAUCAAGAACGAAAGUUAGGGGAUCGAAGACGAUCAGAUACCGUCGUAGUCUUAACCAUAAACUAUGCCGACUAGGGAUCGGAUGAUGUUAAUUUUUUAAUGACUCAUUCGGCGCCUUA
rnacentral:rRNA from 1 species